rnacentral:rRNA from 1 species
UGGGGAAUAUUGGACAAUGGGCGCAAGCCUGAUCCGGCCAUGCCGCGUGAGUGAUGAAGGCCUUAGGGUUGUAAAGCUCUUUUGCCGGGGACGAUAAUGACGGUACCCGGAGAAUAAGUCCCGGCUAACUUCGUGCCAGCAGCCGCGGUAAUCCGACGGGGACUAGCGUUGUUCGGAAUCACUGGGCGUAAAGCGCACGUAGGCGGAUUUGUAAGUCAGGGGUGAAAUCCCGGGGCUCAACCUCGGAACUGCCUUUGAUACUGCAAGUCUUGAGUCCGAUAGAGGUGGGUGGAAUUCCUAGUGUAGAGGUGAAAUUCGUAGAUAUUAGGAAGAACACCAGUGGCGAAGGCGGCCCACUGGAUCGGUACUGACGCUGAGGUGCGAAAGCGUGGGGAGCAAACA